rnacentral:rRNA from 1 species
CUUAGAUUUGGGUGGCGGACAGGUGAGUAACGCGUAAAGAACUUGCCUCACAGCUAGGGACAACAUUUAGAAAUGAAUGCUAAUACCUGAUAUUAUGGUUAUAGGGCAUCCUAUAAUUAUGAAAGCUAUAAGCACUGUGAGAGAGCUUUGCGUCCCAUUAGCUAGUUGGAGAGGUAACAGCUCACCAAGGCGAUGAUGGGUAGCCGGCCUGAGAGGGUGAACGGCCACAAGGGGACUGAGACACGGCCCUUACUCCUACGGGAGGCAGCAGUGGGGAAUAUUGGACAAUGGACCGAGAGUCUGAUCCAGCAAUUCUGUGUGCACGAUGAAGUUUUUCGGAAUGUAAAGUGCUUUCAGUUGGGAAGAAAGAAAUGACGGUACCAACAGAAGCAAGUGACGGCUAAAUACGUGCCA